GAUGAACGCUGGCGGCGUGCUUAACACAUGCAAGUCGAGCGAAGCGCUUUGGUUAGAUUCUUCGGAUGAAGACCUUUGUGACUGAGCGGCGGACGGGUGAGUAACGCGUGGGUAACCUGCCUCAUACAGGGGGAUAACAGUUAGAAAUGACUGCUAAUACCGCAUAAGACCACAGUACCGCAUGGUACAGGGGUAAAAACUCCGGUGGUAUGAGAUGGACCCGCGUCUGAUUAGCUGGUUGUGGGUAACGCCUACAAGGCGACGAUCAGUAGCCGGCCUGAGAGGGCACCGGCACAUUGGGACUGAGACACGGCCCAAACUCCUACGGGAGGCAGCAGUGGGGAAUAUUGCACAAUGGGCAAAGCCUGAUGCAGCGACGCCGCGUGAGCGAUGAAGUAUUUCGGAUGUAAAGCUC
rnacentral:rRNA from 1 species